GGAUGAGUGGCGAACGGGUGAGUAACACGUGAGUAACCUGCCCCGAACUCUGGGAUAAGCGCUGGAAACGGCGUCUAAUACUGGAUAUGUCCUAUCACCGCAUGGUGUGUAGGUGGAAAGAAUUUUGGUUCGGGAUGGACUCGCGGCCUAUCAGCUAGAUGGUGAGGUAAUGGCUCACCAUGGCGACGACGGGUAGCCGGCCUGAGAGGGUGACCGGCCACACUGGGACUGAGACACGGCCCAGACUCCUACGGGAGGCAGCAGUGGGGAAUAUUGCACAAUGGGCGCAAGCCUGAUGCAGCAACGCCGCGUGAGGGAUGACGGCCUUCGGGUUGUAAACCUCUUUUAGUAGGGAAGAAGCGAAAGUGACGGUACCUGCAGAAAAAGCACCGGCUAACUACGUGCCAGCAGCCGCGGUAAUACGUAGGGUGCAAGCGUUGUCCGGAAUUAUUGGGCGUAAAGAGCUCGUAGGCGGCUUGUCGCGUCUGCUGUGAAAACCAGAGGCUCAACCUCUGGCCUGCAGUGGGUACGGGCAAGCUAGAGUGCGGUAGGGGAGAUUGGAAUUCCUGGUGUAGCGGUGGAAUGCGCAGAUAUCAGGAGGAACACCGAUGGCGAAGGCAGAUCUCUGGGCCGUAACUGACGCUGAGGAGCGAAAGCAUGGGGAGCGAACAGGAUUAGAUACCCUGGUAGUCCAUGCCGUAAACGUUGGGAACUAGAUGUAGGGCCUGUUCCACGGGUUCUGUGUCGUAGCUAACGCAUUAAGUUCCCCGCCUGGGGAGUACGGCCGCAAGGCUAAAACUCAAAGGAAUUGACGGGGGCCCGCACAAGCGGCGGAGCAUGCGGAUUAAUUCGAUGCAACGCGAAGAACCUUACCAAGGCUUGACAUAUACGAGAACACUGUAGAGAUACAGGACUCUUUGGACACUCGUAAACAGUGGUGCAU
rnacentral:rRNA from 1 species